AUACGUAGGGUGCGAGCGUUAAUCGGAAUUACUGGGCGUAAAGCGUGCGCAGGCGGUUUUGUAAGACAGUGGUGAAAUCCCCGGGCUCAACCUGGGAACUGCCAUUGUGACUGCAAGGCUGGAGUGCGGCAGAGGGGGAUGGAAUUCCGCGUGUAGCAGUGAAAUGCGUAGAUAUGCGGAGGAACACCGAUGGCGAAGGCAAUCCCCUGGGCCUGCACUGACGCUCAUGCACGAAAGCGUGGGGAGCAAACAGGAUUAGAUACCCUGGUAGUCCACGCCCUAAACGAUGUCAACUGGUUGGUGGGAAUUUAUUUUCUCAGUAACGAAGCUAACGCGUGAAGUUGACCGCCUGGGGAGUACGGCCGCAAGGUUAAAACUCAAAGGAAUUGACGGGG
rnacentral:rRNA from 1 species